rnacentral:rRNA from 1 species
ACGUAGGCUACAAGCGUUACUCGGAUUUAUUGGGCGUAAAGGGUCUGUAGACGGUUUUCCAAGUCUUAUUUCAAAGACCCCGACUUAAUCGGGGAAAGGGGUGAGAUACUGGAAGGCUAGAGUGGUAUCGGGGUUACUGGAAUUUUUAGUGUAGGGGUUAAAUCCGUGGAUACUAAAAAGAACACCAAGCGCGAAGGCGGGUAACUAGGUACAUACUGACGUUCAGAGACGAAAGCUAGGGUAGCAAAUCA